rnacentral:rRNA from 1 species
AUUGUACGCUGGCGGCAUGCCUUACACAUGCAAGUCGAACGGCAGCACGGGUGCUUGCACCUGGUGGCGAGUGGCGAACGGGUGAGUAAUACAUCGGAACGUACCUUAUCGUGGGGGAUAACGCAGCGAAAGCUGUGCUAAUACCGCAUACGCCCUGAGGGGGAAAGCGGGGGAUCGAAAGACCUCGCGCGAUUAGAGCGGCCGAUGCCUGAUUAGCUUGUUGGUGGGGUAAAAGCCCACCAAGGCGACGAUCAGUAGCUGGUCUGAGAGGACGAUCAGCCACACUGGGACUGGGCAACGGCCCAGACUCCUACGGGAGGCAGCAGUGGGGAAUUUCGGACAAUGGGGGCAACCCUGAUCCAGCAAUGCCGCGUGAGUGAAGAAGGCCUUCGGGUUGUAAAGCUCUUUUGUCAGGGAAGAAACACCGGCUCUAACACAGUCCGGGAAUGACGGUACCUGAAGAAUAAGCACCGGCUAACUACGUGCCAGCAGCCGCCGUAA